GGUGACCUUGGGCGUCACGGAACGGGUCCUGUGUAUGAAAAACUGUCACAGAGGUUCAAAAGAACUGCUUGUAAACCGACCCAGAAUUACACUCAGGACAACCAGACCCAAGGGAUAAUGGAGAAAAGUCAGUGGGACUUGAAAAAGAUCCGUUUCCAGCGAAGAAGACUGACCAGACUGGAUGAUUUUGUAUAUACCUACAAGAUCACCCUGAACGCCCUUCUUAGGGAAUACAGAGACUCUCUGAAGACAAAGAAGACACAUCGAGUGGAUGUAGAGCGGUGGAAACACAGAAAGCAAAAGAAGCAGGGAGUUUAUGUAUCACAAAUUGCCGAGCCUUUUGUUUUCAAAAA